rnacentral:rRNA from 1 species
AACGAACGCUGGCGGCAUGCCUAACACAUGCAAGUCGAACGAGACCUUCGGGUCUAGUUGCGCACGGGUGCGUAACGCGUGGGAACCUGCCCUUAGGUUCGGAAUAACUCCCCGAAAGGGGUGCUAAUACCGGAUAAUGUCUUCGGACCAAAGAUUUAUCGCCUUUGGAUGGGCCCGCGUUGGUUUAGCCAGUUGGUAGGGUAAAAGCCUACCAAGGCGACGAUCCAUAGCUGGUCUGAGAGGAUGAUCAGCCACACUGGGACUGAGACACGGCCCAGACUCCUACGGGAGGCAGCAGUGGGGAAUAUUGGACAAUGGGCGAAAGCCUGAUCCAGCAAUGCCGCGUGAGUGAUGAAGGCCUUAGGGUUGUAAAGCUCUUUUACCCGGGAUGAUAAUGACAGUACCGGGAGAAUAAGCACCGGCUAACUCCGUG